CACGUAGGUGGUUUUGUAAGUCGGAUGUGAAAUCCCCGGGCUUAACCCGGGAACUGCAUUCGAGACUGCAUUACUCGAGUAUGGGAGAGGGAAGCGGAAUUUCCGGUGUAGCGGUGAAAUGCGUAGAUAUCGGAAGGAACAUCAGUGGCGAAAGCGGCUUCCUGGCCCAAUACUGACACUCAUGUGCGAAAGCGUGGGGAGCAAACAGGAUUAGAUACCCUGGUAGUCCACGCCAUAAACGAUGAGAACUAGAUGUCGAGAGGGUUAGCCUCACGGUGUCGCAGCUAACGCGUUAAGUUCUCCGCCUGGGGAGUACGGCCGCAAGGUUGAA
rnacentral:rRNA from 1 species